AGAGGGUUCAACUCGGCACGGUGGACGCGGCGCUGGAAGUCAUGCAGGGCUUCCCGGGACGGGUGCCGUCCAGUGCUGCGAUUCGCCGGGUCGGGCGCAUUCGUCUCUCGUCCGAAGGACGCUGCAGCCGGUUCGGAAGUGCAAGCGCGACGGCCUGAAGGUCGGGACGAUGCAGGUGGCCGGCGGCUCGCCUCGUGCGGGUUGUCGGUUGUUAGCGGUCCCGUCGGUGGCUCGUCUCCGGACCGUGGUGUCCCGAGUCCCUAGCGGACUCCUCGUCUCCACCCCAGAGUCGCGGGACAGAUGGUGGCAGGGAUGUAGAGUUGCAUUUCCCUCGCACUCCCUCGGAGUGGUGGGAGAGGCUCGGCGCCCCGUUGGUUGCCACGCGCCCGUGGGGGACCGGAGGCUGGCAGCGAGUAGGUCGGUCACCCACCCGACCCGUCUUGAAACACGGACCAAGGAGUCUAACAUGUGCGCGAGUCAAUGGGUCUUGAACAGGCCCAGGGGCGCAAUGAAAGCGAAGGACUGCCUAGCGCAGUUUGAGUGGGGAUCCUCUCCCCUCGGGGGGAGGCGCACCCGCGACCCGUCCCACCCGGCUCGCCGGAGGGGCGGAGUCUGAGCGCACACGUUGGGACCCGAAAGAUGGUGAACUAUGCCCGGACAGGACGAGGCCAGAGGAAACUCUGGUGGAGGUCCGCAGC
rnacentral:rRNA from 1 species